rnacentral:lncRNA from 1 species
UUCGGUCUUUAUGAGUGGUUAGUCAUGCCUUUUGGGUUAACUAAUGCGCCUAGCACUUUCAUGAGAUUGAUGAAUGAGGUUUUACGUGCUUUCAUUGGUAAAUUUGUGAUGGUAUAUUUUGAUGAUAUUCUUAUCUAUAGUAAGUCUCAUGAUGAUCAUAUUGAACAUUUACGUGUUGUUUUUGAUGUUUUGCGUGAUGCACGUUUAUUUGGUAACCUUGAGAAGUGCACCUUCAACACCGAUCAUGUGCCUUUUCUUGGAUAUGUUGUGACAUCGCAGGGCAUUGAGAUGGAUGAGGCGAAAAUUGUUGCCAUCACGAACUGGCCACUUCCAACCACGGUCACGCAGGUUCGAAGUUUUCUUGGUCUUGCAGGAUUCUACAGGCGAUUUGUGCGGGAUUUUAGCACCAUUGCAGCACCUCUCCACGAGUUGACAAAGAAUGGAGUGUCGUUUCGUUGGGAACAAUCACAACAACAAGCCUUUGAUGCCCUCAAUUUGAAGCUCACACGGUCGUCGUCCGACUACAAUUGGGCCAAAUGGGCCAAUUGCGUCUUUGCCAACGGGUAAUAGUGGAGGAUGUCCUCAUCAUUCCCACCUUCUUAAAAUGGGCCCUAGCUCUGAUACCAGAUGAUACAUCUAGCCUAGGUGGGGUUGGCCGAGGCCCAACAAAUUAGGGUUGCCCGGAGCCCAACAGUUCAUUAAGCACACCCAACUCAGGGAAAGGCCCAAUCGCCCCAAAAGACUAGCCCAAUGGGGGAAGGGUGGCUCUCCCUUUUAAAGUGGCUUCCUCCUCCCAAGUUAAGCGAGGUGGGAUAAUUCUGAGGCUCACAUGGUCGCCGUCCGACUACAAUUGGGCCAACUGGGCCAAUUGCGUCUUUGCCAACGGGUAAUAGUGGAGGAUGUCCUCAUCAUUCUCACCUUCUUAAAAUGGGCCCUAGCUUUGAUACCAGGCGAUUUGUGCGGGAUUUCAGCACCAUUGCAGCACCUCUCCACGAGUUUACAAAGAAUGGAGUGUCGUUUCGUUGGGGACCAUCACAACAACAAGCCUUUGAUGCCCUCAAUUUGAAGCUCACACAGUCGCCGUCCGACUACAAUUGGGCCAACUGGGCCAAUUGCGUCUUUGCCAACGGGUAAUAGUGGAGGAUGUCCUCAUCAUUCCCUCCUUCUUAAAAUGGGCCCUAGCUCUGAUACCAGAUGAUACAUCUAGCCCAGGUGGGGUUGGCCGAGGCCCAACAAAUUAGGGUUGCCCGGAGCCCAACAGUUCAUUAAGCACACCCAACUCAGGGAAAGGCCCAAUCGCCCCAAAAGACUAGCAGAAUGGGGGAAGGGUGGCUCUCCCUUUUAAAGUGGCUUCCUCCUCCCAAGUUAAGCGAGGUGGGAUAUAUCUGAGGCUCACACGGUCGUCGUCCGACUACAAUUGGGCCAACUGGGUCAAUUGCGUCUUUGCCAACGGGUAAUAGUGGAGUAUGUCCUCAUCAUUCUCACCUUCUUAAAAUGGGCCCUAGCUUUGAUACCAGAUGAUACAUCUAGCCCAGGUGGGGUUGGCCGAGGCCCAACAAAUUAGGGUUGCCCGGAGCCCAACAGUUCAUUAAGCACACCCAACUCAGGGAAAGGCCCAAUCGCCCCAAAAGACUAGCCCAAUGGGGGAAGGGUGGCUCUCCCUUUUAAAGUGGCUUCCUCCUCCCAAGUUA